rnacentral:rRNA from 1 species
CCUACGGGUGGCAGCAGUGAGGAAUUUUGGUCAAUGGGCUUACGCCUGAACCAGCCAAGUCGCGUGAGGGAAGACUGCCCUAUGGGUUGUAAACCUCUUUUGUCAGGGAGCAACGCCGGCUACGUGUAGCCGGACUGAGAGUACCUGAAGAAAAAGCAUCGGCUAACUCCGUGCCAGCAGCCGCGGUAAUACGGAGGAUGCGAGCGUUAUCCGGAUUUAUUGGGUUUAAAGGGUGCGUAGGCGGAAUGCCAAGUCAGCGGUAAAAUCGCGGGGCUCAACCUCGCUCCGCCGUUGAAACUGGCGUUCUUGAGUGGGCGAGAGGUAUGCGGAAUGCGUGGUGUAGCGGUGAAAUGCAUAGAUAUCUGGAGGAACAUCAGUGGCGAAGGCGACUAUCUGGCGCAUAACUGACGCUGAGGAGCGAAAGCGUGGGUAGCGAACAGGAUUAGAUACCCGUGUAGUC